rnacentral:rRNA from 1 species
UGAGUAGGCGGAUUGUUAAGUCAUAUGUGAAAUCCCCGGGCCCAACCCGGGAACCGCAUAAGAAACUGGCGGUCUAGAGUGCGGGAGAGGUAAGCGGAAUUCCCAGUGUAGCGGUGAAAUGCGUAGAUAUUGGGAAGAACACCAGUGGCGAAGGCGGCUUACUGGACCGUAACUGACGCUGAGUCACGAAAGCGUGGGGAGCGAACAGGAUUAGAUACCCUGGUAGUCCACGCUGUAAACGAUGAACGCUAGGUGUCGGGGCGAGAGCUUCGGUGCCGGAGUUAACACAAUAAGCGUUCCGCCUGGGGAGUACGGUCGCAAGGCUGAA